rnacentral:lncRNA from 1 species
UUCCACAUUCUCCCUUCAGUAGUAGGAGUCAAGUGAGGAAAUGGUAUAAUUCACAUGCAACUUGUAUGACACUUUGCUCUUUGUGUGGCUUUCAGAUAUGCACAGGUCUUCUUUUGCCUUCACGUGUAUGUAUUUGAACAUGCCUAUCAGAAACUUUAAUAAAAGAAUUGGCUUAGAGGGGCUUUUAAAACAUUAUUUUAGAAGAGUGUAGAAGCCAUUUAGUUGGUUCUUACUUUGUGCUAUUACACCCUGCCAGCAAACCAUUUCUUCUCACAUAAUUUUAUGAUUCCCCGUAGGAGUCUGUGCAAUGGGAAACCUGUUCUCCACUGGAAGUAACAUCCAUUCAUCUUCUCUGCACUAUUCAAGAAAAGAGUGUCUACAAAAUGAAGUGGACGUCACUCAGUUGCUGCAGGGAGUCCAUAUGGCACACAGCUGGAUUCACAGCACAACCACUGCACCCAACCACUAAUCUGCACUAAGGGAACAUGAGAUUCUGUAACUCCAGAGAUGUGUACAGCUGGUCGUCUCCAUGAAAGAAUUGCUUGCUUGAAGUGACACAAUGGUGACCCCAAUAUGUCUCAGAUCAGUCAGUUGUAUAGAUUGCCAAAGGGCUCUGAGAAUUUUCUUGGGCUACACAUUGCAGCAGCUCUGGAACUCUUGGCACUGGAUUUUUCUGGUAGGUAUAGACGUCAGCAACUAUUUUUGCUAACAGUUGCAUCAUGUAGAAAAUGAUUUGCAUAUUGUAAAAUGAUAUAUGAUAGACAUCUUGCUGUUGGGUAGACAAAUAGUGGGUAGAUUUAAGUGAUAGAUUCUGCCCAAAAUGUUGCUCUUAUUGCUCUGUUUCUCUUCUUCAGAGAAGUCAAUUUCUGACCUCCUUCCCAAUACUGAAUUUCAGUUUCAUCACUAAUCAUAAUUCUCAUUAACAGGUCUGAAAAUCACACAAUAAAUUAUUCGCAGCUUCUUCAAAUUGCACUUGCCAUUCUUAUGAGGUUUUCUGACAUCUAAGUAUGAU